UGGGAAUCUGCCCUUGGGUUCGGGAUAAACAGUUGGAAACGACUGCUAAUACCGGAUGAUGUCUUCGGACCAAAGAUUUAUCGCCCAGGGAUGAGCCCGCGUCGGAUUAGCUAGUUGGUGGGGUAAAAGCCUACCAAGGCAACGAUCCGUAGCUGGUCUGAGAGGAUGAUCAGCCACACUGGGACUGAGACACGGCCCAGACUCCUACGGGAGGCAG
rnacentral:rRNA from 1 species